rnacentral:lncRNA from 1 species
GUGGAUUUUGUAUUAGAAAAGUUUAAUUUUGGGGGGAAAUUUAGACAAUGGAUCAAAAUGUUACUCUAUGAUGCUAUUACUUGUAUAAAAACAAAUGGACAUGUUUCAAAAUAUUUUUCGAUAACACGUUUGGCCAGACAGGGCUGUCCAAUAGCACCACUUAUAUAUAUAUUUUGAAAGCAGAACCAAUGGCAUGUGCAAUAC